UACGUAGGGGGCUAGCGUUGUCCGGAAUCAUUGGGCGUAAAGCGUGUGUAGGCGGACGCCUAAGUACCUUGUGAAAUCCCACGGCUCACCCGUGGAACCGCUGGGUAUACUGGGCGUCUUGGGCCAUUCAGGGGCAACUGGAACAAGCGGUGGAGCGGUGAAAUGCCGUAGAUAUCGCUUGGAACGCCGACGGUGAAAACAGGUUGCUGGGAAUGUGCCGACGCUGAGACACGAAAGCCAGGGGAGCAAACGGG
rnacentral:rRNA from 1 species